UGAGGUUACCUUACCGUAUUGUUCAUUUAAACCCUGUGAGUUUACCUUACCGUAGUUGUUCAUUUAAACCCUGUGAGGUUACCUUACCGUGAGGUUACCUUACCGUAGUUGUUCAUUUAAACCCUGUGAGGUUACCUUACCGUAGUUGUUCAUUUAAACCCUGUGAGUUUACCUUACCGUAGUUGUUCAUUUAAACCCUGUGAGGUUACCUUACCGUAGUUGUUCAUUUAAACCCUGUGAGGUUACCUUACCGUAGUUGUUCAUUUAAACCCUGUGAGGUUACCUUACCGUAG